rnacentral:rRNA from 1 species
GACGAACGCUGGCGGCGUGCCUAAUACAUGCAAGUAGAACGCUGAAGGAGGAGCUUGCUUCUCCGGAUGAGUUGCGAACGGGUGAGUAACGCGUAGGUAACCUGCCUGGUAGCGGGGGAUAACUAUUGGAAACGAUAGCUAAUACCGCAUAAGAGUAGAUGUUGCAUGACAUUUGCUUAAAAGGUGCAAUUGCAUCACUACCAGAUGGACCUGCGUUGUAUUAGCUAGUUGGUGGGGUAACGGCUCACCAAGGCGACGAUACAUAGCCGACCUGAGAGGGUGAUCGGCCACACUGGGACUGAGACACGGCCCAGACUCCUACGGGAGGCAGCAGUAGGGAAUCUUCGGCAAUGGACGGAAGUCUGACCGAGCAACGCCGCGUGAGUGAAGAAGGUUUUCGGAUCGUAAAGCUCUGUUGUAAGAGAAGAACGAGUGUGAGAGUGGAAAGUUCACACUGUGACGGUAUCUUACCAGAAAGGGACGGCUAACUACGUGCCAGCAGCCGCGGUAAUGCGUAGGUCCCGAGCGUUGUCCGGAUUUAUUGGGCGUAAAGCGAGCGCAGGCGGUUAGAUAAGUCUGAAGUUAAAGGCUGUGGCUUAACCAUAGUACGCUUUGGAAACUGUUUAACUUGAGUGCAAGAGGGGAGAGUGGAAUUCCAUGUGUAGCGGUGAAAUGCGUAGAUAUAUGGAGGAACACCGGUGGCGAAAGCGGCUCUCUGGCUUGUAACUGACGCUGAGGCUCGAAAGCGUGGGGAGCAAACAGG